UACGUAGGUGGCAAGCGUUGUCCGGAUUUACUGGGCGUAAAGGGCGUGCAGGCGGUCUGUUAAGUCUAGGGUGAAAGCUCCCGGCUCAACUGGGAGAGGUCCUUGGAUACUGGCGGACUUGAGGGAGGCAGAGGAAAGUGGAAUUCCCGGUGUAGUGGUGAUAUGCGUAGAUAUCGGGAGGAACACCAGUGGCGAAGGCGGCUUUCUGGGCCUUACCUGACGCUGAGACGCGAAAGCGUGGGGAG
rnacentral:rRNA from 1 species